UACGUAGGGGGCAAGCGUUGUCCGGAUUUAUUGGGCGUAAAGAGCGUGUAGGCGGUUUGGUAGGUCCGCUGUGAAAACUCGAGGCUCAACCUCGAGACGCCGGUGGAAACCAUCAGGCUAGAGUCCGGAAGAGGAGAGUGGAAUUCCUGGUGUAGCGGUGAAAUGCGCAGAUAUCAGGAGGAACACCGAUGGCGAAGGCAGAUCUCUGGGCCGUAACUGACGCUGAGGAGCGAAAGCAUGGGGAGCGAACAGG
rnacentral:rRNA from 1 species